GAUGAACGCUGGCGGCGUGCCUAAUACAUGCAAGUCGAGCGAACGGACGAGAAGCUUGCUUCUCUGAUGUUAGCGGCGGACGGGUGAGUAACACGUGGAUAACCUACCUAUAAGACUGGGAUAACUUCGGGAAACCGGAGCUAAUACCGGAUAAUAUUUUGAACCGCAUGGUUCAAAAGUGAAAGACGGUCUUGCUGUCACUUAUAGAUGGAUCCGCGCUGCAUUAGCUAGUUGGUAAGGUAACGGCUUACCAAGGCAACGAUGCAUAGCCGACCUGAGAGGGUCAUCGGCCACACUGUAACUGAGACACGGUCCAGACUCCUACGGGAGGCAGCAGUAGGGAAUCUUCCGCAAUGGGCGAAAGCCUGACGGAGCAACGCCGCGUGAGUGAUGAAGGUCUUCGGAUCGUAAAACUCUGUUAGUAGUGAAGAACAUAUGUGUAAGUAACUGUGCACAUCUUGACGGUACCUAAUCAGAAAGCCACGGCUAACUACGUG
rnacentral:rRNA from 1 species